rnacentral:rRNA from 1 species
UACGUAGGGUGCAGGCGUUAAUCGGAAUUACUGGGCGUAAAGCGUGCGCAGGCGGCUUUGCAAGACAGAUGUGAAAUCCCCGGGCUCAACCUGGGAACUGCAUUUGUGACUGCAUGGCUAGAGUGCGGCAGAGGGGGAUGGAAUUCCGCGUGUAGCAGUGAAAUGCGUAGAUAUGCGGAGGAACACCGAUGGCGAAGGCAAUCCCCUGGGCCUGCACUGACGCUCAUGCACGAAAGCGUGGGGAGCAAACAGG